rnacentral:rRNA from 1 species
GAACGAACGCUGGCGGCAGGCUUAACACAUGCAAGUCGAACGCACCUUUCGGGGUGAGUGGCAGACGGGUGAGUAACGCGUGGGAAUCUACCCUUCUCUACGGGAUAGCUCCGGGAAACUGGAAUUAAUACCGUAUACGUCCUGAGGGAGAAAGAUUUAUCGGGGAAGGAUGAGCCCGCGUUGGAUUAGCUAGUUGGUGGGGUAAAGGCCUACCAAGGCGACGAUCCAUAGCUGGUCUAAGAGGAUGAUCAGCCACAUUGGGACUGAGACACGGCCCAAACUCCUACGGGAGGCAGCAGUGGGGAAUAUUGGACAAUGGGCGCAAGCCUGAUCCAGCCAUGCCGCGUGAGUGAUGAAGGCCCUAGGGUUGUAAAGCUCUUUCAGUGGGGACGAUAAUGACGGUACCCACAGAAGAAGCCCCGGCUAACUUCGUG